rnacentral:rRNA from 1 species
UAGGGAAUCUUCCGCAAUGGACGCAAGUCUGACGGAGCAACGCCGCGUGAGUGAAGAAGGAUUUCGGUUCGUAAAACUCUGUUGUUAGAGAAGAACAGCGCAUAGAGUAACUGUUAUGCGUGUGACGGUAUCUAACCAGAAAGCCACGGCUAACUACGUGCCAGCAGCCGCGGUAAUACGUAGGUGGCAAGCGUUGUCCGGAUUUAUUGGGCGUAAAGCGAGCGCAGGCGGUAAAUUAAGUCUGAUGUGAAAGCCCCCGGCUCAACCGGGGGGGGUCAUUGGAAACUGGUUGGCUUGAGUGCAGAAGAGGAGAGUGGAAUUCCAUGUGUAGCGGUGAAAUGCGUAGAUAUAUGGAGGAACACCAGUGGCGAAGGCGACUCUCUGGUCUGUAACUGACGCUGAGGUUCGAAAGCGUGGGUAGCAAACAGG